CAAGCGAGGGAGCUGGAGGAACGUCAGCGCGCUUUGCAAGCUGAGCGUAGCGCCUGGGAGCGCGAGACUGGCCUCUCACUUGACGACCUGCGGCGCCGCUCGCUCGAGGCCAACAGCAAGGAGACGGUCGACGGCAAGGACAAGAAGGACAAGAAAAAGAAAGGUUUGUUCUAAACGCGAUGCGUCGCGCCGGCCCGCACCCACCGUAACGCGUGACUAACCGCGGCCGCACCGCGACUCGCUCCGGUGCGGCCAAAACGCAAGUACUCACUAUAUGUAAGUACCUAUGUUACUUUAACCUAAAUUUCGAAUUGCAAUUUCUCAAUAAACCAUGUCAUGUUGCUGUAUACUAUAUACAGAAUCUUAAUCACCACUAUGCAGAUUGCAGAAAACCUUCCGUACAUAUCGUAUUCGAAAUUUGUUGAGAAACAUAGGUUUUGUGGCGUACGUUACUGUAUUUGCCGUACUAGCCUUUGCUAAUGAGAUUGUCUUGAGAUAGGAAUUUUUAUUAAUUUAUAUGCCUAACUCUGGGAUAUUAGUGCCAUUGUCAAUGUCGUGACCUCGUGUCGCUACUGUCGUAUACACUAAUUGUUUGUCGUGUAUGUAUUGUUUAUCAACGUGUUGCUUUAAAUCUCGUGUACAGCAAUUUACUGUGUGCUCACACCAGACAAUUGUCUCACAAAUUAACUGUACCUACUAGGAGUACUAGGACUGCCUAACAGGUUAUGAAAACUUAUAACUGUGUAAUAUAAUCUCACAUACAAGCAUAAUAUUUUCUUGAUUCGUGCAACUUUUUAUGUGUGAUCGUAGAAAUAAUAAUACUUAUGUUAAUGGACUCAUAAAUUAAGGCGGCGACAUACAACGAAAACUUAAGAUUUUAUGUCAACAAAUUAAUCAAGAAGAACGUGUGUACUAACGUAAUGUAAUCAAGCCACUCCCAUGCCGCCUAAGUUGAUGGGUCCACGUACCCUGUUGGACAGCUAUGUUUACUUACAAAAUCGUUUGUUAUUAUAGAUGUUCUGUAUUUGGAGUAAGGGCAUUGACACGAUCUAUGUUGUAAAUAUCAGUAUCUGUAUCGUAACAGUUGCGCGUAACUCGUAAUGACACUCCUUUCUUAUUAACUUCUCUCUCUGUCUUUCUACUAAUGUUUGUAUUGAAAGCAAUUCAGAUUAUGAACUAUUUAUGAAAUUUUCAGAUUGGUCUUUUAAGAGUGUUGCAACGGGAAUAGCAAUAUAAUUUGGACAGAAGUCCGACCACAACGCACCACUAGUUUAACGAAUUAUAGUUCUAUGGUUAACUAGCAUAAUGGAACAACGAUUAAUAAAAGACUAUAAAACGUAAUAACUAUCUGACAUAAUGGCGACAGCAUUCAAACGAAUUAGGCGACGUUACUUUUUAUGUAUUUAUUUAUAAGGUUUUUUUUCCAUGACAAAGCAUUUAUUAUGGAUAAGUGAGGCCUAAUUUUAUACUUCUUGUGUUUCCAAAGGCAUUUUAUAAAAACAUGUUUUAUACGGUUAUUUAUAAUUUUUAUGGAAUUAUUUCAGAUACUAGCUGAUAAAAGUAAUUUGCUAUAGCACAAACGUUUUUACACAUGUGAGAUGAUUACUAGACGUUUACGUCCACGAAGAUGCCAAAUAGCUUGUAAUGAUGGUCUGCUGUUAUCAACUUUAAAAUGUCUUAAAAAUUCGCGAAUUUUGUCAUUAAUACUAAUAUGACCUAACAUUUUAUCGAACUAAUGACAGUGACGUGAUUUAUCCAGCUCAAAUUCAUUGUAAAAUAAAUAAUAGAUACUUACUAAAGUCUUUACUAAUAAAUAUAGCAUUAUAAAUUUUGCAAAACAGUGUUUUCUGUAUACAGCUAUAAAUUUUUCUCAUUGUUAUAUUUAUAAGUAGAGAUGUUACAAAAAUAACGUAGCUAUUUGUGAUUAAAUUAGGUCAACACCAUUCUAAAUUUUAAAGUGAAAUUAGAUAAGAGAUAUUUUUUACUUCUGUAUCAUUACAAAUUAAACGAUUUUGGCUUAAAUUGGUGCAUUCGAAUAACUUGUCGAGUUAUAGAAUCGCAUGGCGUCUCUUGAAUACAGUCGAGUCAUGGGGGUUUCGUCUUACGGAGAUAUUGCUUAUAAAAUUAGUGCGCGAAUUGAUACCAGAUUUUUUAAAAUAAAAUCUAAAAGUAUUUUCGCUUGAUAUUUUGAAUCUAAUAUGGCUUUGCAUGACUCGACAUGUAUGUAUUGGAUAUCGUGCUUAGUGAUAUUGAAUAUGCUCAUAGUUCAGUUGUGACAUAGACUCUAGCUAUAGCUAGGUGUUAGCAUUUCUUUAUAUUAUAAGAGGAUGAGCCAAGGAAGGGUCGCCUAUACACUUCAUUGUCGCGGACACUUGAUUACUCACCGUUUGAUAUGAACUCAUAAAAUUUUUAUUCGUGGAGCUUUUUUGGUAUUUACUGAAUUGUCUCUGGAUUUAUGUUUUCACUUUACUAAAAAUGUAAAGGAAACAGGAUGAAUUAAUCCAAUUAUUAUUAUGUACUCGUACAUUCAUUAUGAUCACACUAUUCGUAACUUAUUUUACCUCGGAAUGGUACUCGCAUUGACGCGUCUGUUGAAAAUAAGACGUUUGAAACGACGUUAUGGAAUCACAUUAUUAUUAUAUUAUUAUUACGUAGAUAUUAAAUGAUUGUUAUUUCUUUCAAUGCACACACACUAUCUUCCUUAAAACUUCAAAUUACGCCCUUAUUAUGUAAAUAUUUUCGUUUAGUCAUUAUGAUUAUAUGGAACAGAUUUAUAUUCAAGUUAAACUGCUAAUAAGUAUGUAAUUUAUGAGACAUGCAUAAUCUUUGUUUAAUCAGCAUGCCAUGGUUAAAUUUGUAUUAUUUCCUACACUACAGUAUUGACUUCCGCAUUAAAGUUAGGAGAUUAGGUGUUAAGAUUAUGCUUAAUUUUGUAUUUUGUGUAGGGUCGCGGCCCACUUUACCAUACAGAUCAUUUGCUUAGUCAUUACAAUGGAUAUGUGAUGUAUGAUGGGUGAGCAAUGAAGUUCAGACGAUGUAAUAUAUUGUACCUUUGAAUAUAAAUAAAUACGUAAUAUAUAGGA